GCAAGUCGAGCGAACAGACGAGGAGCUUGCUCCUCUGACGUUAGCGGCGGACGGGUGGGUAACACGUGGAUAACCUACCUAUAAGACUGGGAUAACUUCGGGAAACUGGAGCUAAUACCGGAUAAUAUAUUGAACCGCAUGGUUCAAUAGUGAAAGACGGUUUUGCUGUCACUUAUAGAUGGAUCCGCGCCGCAUUAGCUAGUUGGUAAGGUAACGGCUUACCAAGGCAACGAUGCGUAGCCGACCUGAGAGGGUGAUCGGCCACACUGGAACUGAGACACGGUCCAGACUCCUACGGGAGGCAGCAGUAGGGAAUCUUCCGCAAUGGGCGAAAGCCUGACGGAGCAACGCCGCGUGAGUGAUGAAGGUCUUCGGAUCGUAAAACUCUGUUAUUAGGGAAGAAUAAAUGUGUAAGUAACUAUGCACGUCUUGACGGUACCUAAUCAGAAAGCCACGGCUAACUACGUGCCAGCAGCCGCGGUAAUACGUAGGUGGCAAGCGUUAUCCGGAAUUAUUGGGCGUAAAGCGCGCGUAGGCGGUUUUUUAAGUCUGAUGUGAAAGCCCACGGCUCAACCGUGGAGGGUCAUUGGAAACUGGAAAACUUGAGUGCAGAAGAGGAAAGUGGAAUUCCAUGUGUAGCGGUGAAAUGCGCAGAGAUAUGGAGGAACACCAGUGGCGAAGGCGACUUUCUGG
rnacentral:rRNA from 1 species